rnacentral:rRNA from 1 species
AGUGAACGCUGGCGGUAGGCCUAACACAUGCAAGUCGAACGGCAGCACAGUAAGAGCUUGCUCUUACGGGUGGCGAGUGGCGGACGGGUGAGGAAUACAUCGGAAUCUACUUUUUCGUGGGGGAUAACGUAGGGAAACUUACGCUAAUACCGCAUACGCCCUACGGGUGAAAGCAGGGGAUCUUCGGACCUUGUGCGAUUGAAUGAGCCGAUGUCGGAUUAGCUAGUUGGCGGGGUAAAGGCCCACCAAGGCGACGAUCCGUAGCUGGUCUGAGAGGAUGAUCAGCCACACUGGAACUGAGACACGGUCCAGACUCCUACGGGAGGCAGCAGUGGGGAAUAUUGGACAAUGGGCGCAAGCCUGAUCCAGCCAUACCGCGUGGGUGAAGAAGGCCUUCGGGUUGUAAAGCCCUUUUGUUGGGAAAGAAAAGCAGCAGGUUAAUACCCCGCUGUUCUGACGGUACCCAAAGAAUAAGCACCGGCUAACUUCGUG